rnacentral:rRNA from 1 species
AGCAGUAGCCACGGGAAUACGAAGGGGGCUAGCGUUGUUCGGAAUUACUGGGCGUAAAGCGCACGUAGGCGGAUAUUUAAGUCAGGGGUGAAAUCCCAGAGCUCAACUCUGGAACUGCCUUUGAUACUGGGUAUCUUGAGUAUGGAAGAGGUGAGUGGAAUUCCGAGUGUAGAGGUGAAAUUCGUAGAUAUUCGCAGGAACACCAGUGGCGAAGGCGGCUUACUGGUCCAUUACUGACGCUGAGGUGCGAAAGCGUGGGGAGCAAACAGGAUUAGAUACCCGCGUAGUCCCUGUCUCUUAUAC